GCAAUAAUGCACCAUUUCUCGUCCGAGCUAACGAAGUUAAGCAACGUCGAGCCUGAUUAGUACCUAGAUGGGUGACUACUUGGGAAUACCAGUUGCU